AACACUUCUCGGGUACGAGAGUGGUUCUUGAUUUUGCUGAAACGCCGUCAAACCUAUUUGAGUGAGAAGAAUGCUGACUCUUUGAUCCAUACUAUUCAUCAGUGAUACUAAGACAAAUGUUUGAUGAACACCCAAUAAUCCCACUUUUCGGGUACGAGAGUGGUUCUUGAUUUUGCUGAAACGCCGUCAAACCUAUUUGAGUGAGAAGAAUGCUGACUCUUUGAUCCAUACUAUUCAUCAGUGAUACUAAGACAAAUGUUUGAUGAACACCGCCCAUUGGAUUAUCUGCUGUUUGUUUACCUUUUUGUUUAUGGCACGAAAUGGAUUCUUUUGAUCCUAGUUUUUCUGGUUUAAGCACCACUAGUAUGCAAUGUACAUGCUAUAUAUUCUAUGUGCAGGGUGAAUGCUUCAUGCGC
rnacentral:lncRNA from 1 species